rnacentral:rRNA from 1 species
CCUACGGGGUGCAGCAGUGGGGAAUGUUGCACAAUGGGGGGAACCCUGAUGCAGCGACGCCGCGUGGGUGAAGGAGUAUUUCGGUAUGUAAAGCCCUAUCAGCAGGGAAGAACAAUGACGGUACCUCACUAAGAAGCACCGGCUAAAUACGUACCAGCAGCCGCGGUAAUCCGUAUGGUGCAAGCGUUAUCCGGAUGUACUGGGUGUAAAGGGGGCGCAGGCGGCGCGUUAAGCCUGGUGUGAAAGCCCGCGGCUCAACCGCGGGACUGCAUUGGAAACUGGCGCGCUGGAGUGCCGGAGGGGUAGGCGGAAUGCCUAGUGUAGCGGUGAAAUGCGUAGAUAUUAGGAAGAACACCAGUGGCGAAGGCGGCCUACUGGACGGUGACUGACGCUGAGGCUCGAAAGCGUGGGGAGCAAACAGGAUUAGAUACCCGUGUAGUC